rnacentral:rRNA from 1 species
GUCAAUGCCAUGCCACCCUCAAUGCGCCUAAUCUCGUCUGAUCUCAGAAGCUAAGCAAGGUUGGGCCUGGUUAGUACUUGAAUGGGAGACCACCUAGGAAUAUCGGGUGCUAUACACG